AACCAAGAGUCACCUCCUUUCCUCAUUUCACAGGCAAUUACCGUGUUCGAUGGAGUGAAAGGACUUCCGCCAUUGCUUUUAACCUCCUCGUACACCUUAUACCGCUGGGAAGAAGAAACACUUUUCCCUCCCACAUUUUUUUAAAAUGCAAACUUACGAUUAUUUCUUAAAUCUUAAUACAAUUUUAACAAAUCUAACAAUCAUCAAAUUUGCAGCAGAGGUGAGAUAAAGAUAAAGGGAAUAAAGACGAUUUGUUAGUCCAUUUGAAGCGACGACAGUUCCCAGAAAUAAAGCACAGUAUCAAAUGCUGGUGUUUUGUGUUGUUUGGGCAAUCAUUUCAUAGCCAAUAAAUAUUCUUCUUUGUGUGCAUAUCUGUGUCUAUGUCCUUACAGGUAGGAAGUCAGAGUUCAGCCUUAGGUGUUCUUCUUCUGGUUCCAGGGACCUUGUUUUUGGAGACAAUGUCAUUUUAACUUGCCUGGAGCUCACCAAGUAGACUCUACUGGCAGAGUAGAGUAAAGCCCCAGAGAGUAUUCUGCCACGUCUAACCUUUUCUUUUCACGUGGUUUUUGGGGAUGCAACUCUGGUCGAAUGCCUCCAAGGCAAGCACUCUGCCAACUUAGCUACUGCUAUAGCUCCAAUAUUCAACUAUAUGUUUUUUUAUAAUAAUUGACUUGGUUGGGUGAUUCUCAUUAGUUAAACUUCAGUCACAUACAACCUACAUUAUUUAAGGGAUAAUUUAAUUGAAAUUUCAUGUUGAAACUGAACUUGGGAAGGCAUUACUUCAGAGGGAAAACGUUAUAACCAAUGCAGUAAAAAUAACGCCAUAAAUUGACUUGUGGGUGGUAAGUUGAUCAAAAUAAAGGAUUUAAAAUAAAACUCUCAAAGCAUUUGAUAUUCUAUAUAGCAAUAAAUCAGAAUAAGUAGUCAACCUCCACAUUCUUAAUCAGCCUUGGUACUCUUGUUUUUGAUUAACAGGACAUGUGUGGCUCCUAUCUCAAUCCUAUCUCGCACCCUCUAGCUCUCAAAACAGAUUUUUUUUAAAGCUGUAACUGAGUUCUUUAUUUAAAAAAAAAACACUUUUCAUUUUAAUAGAAACAGAAUAUGCCAUUUCAAAGAUUUGAGGCACAAUGCUUCAAAGAAUUAAAACAAAUGGCCGAAGUAAGUACGAUCAAUGUACACUGUAAAGCAUGACCCCCUUGCCAGGAAAUCUUUUGUGAUUUUUGAUGGGAAAUGGAAGAUAAUUAUCCUAAAGUCCAAGGACCACAAUGCAAGGAACAGAAAGCAAAAUUAGCUUAAGUGUCAAUACUUUUGAAAGUGGCAUUUUUUUUUCCGAAUCAACCAUAAAUACCGUAUUUGAGGAAUGCAGUCACAAAAGGCUUGCUUGCACUUAAUAUCAAAAUCUCUCAUUUCAAACGGCACCAGCACAGUGAUUCUGCUCCUCUCAACUCAAAACUCAGAACAUCAACUGCUAACGUCAACUCCUUGUCCCAAAGAAGACCUUUGGAUUUGCUUGGCCGUACGUUACGCGAAGGAUAUUAACCUUGAUCAUGACGAAGCCAUAGUUUUCCAAGUAGCCAGCACAUACUGAGGAAGGGCUGCCCUCCACAGCACAAGUUAGAAAGCAUGGGAAGCACAGAUUGCUUCUUCAGGGUAAGCCUGUUCCUUUGUUGUCUUUUCCCACCUUUUCCACUCUCUGAACCAGAAAGAUUUACUUCUGUACUCUAAGGAAGUUUGAGCCAUUGAGCUUAGACAUUCUCUGACCACAACCUCUGACAAUCUAUAAAAAAACAAAAGACAAACACACACACACACACACACACACACACACACACACACACACACACACACACACACACACACCUGCCCCUUCCCUGACAAAGUUUCCUCGUGCUGUGGCUGCAUGAUGUGGUUCUAGGUAGUUCUUUUAGACUCUGUCAUGCACUGCAGCCACCAAGAUGAACUGGAAAGGAUCUACCGUUAGCGCGCAUGAUGUAGCUUGCAGCGAUCAGGGUCUGUAUAAAUAAAUCUAAAGCUCUUUCAACCUCUCUUCUCCACCUGACCUUUGGGGAGCCCCACUCAUCGCCUCUGGGUUUUAUUAAAGAGUGGCAGAGAAUGGGGAACAGCUAGCACGCUGGGCUAGUGGGUGUAUCCAAGGUUCUCAGUGUGGGGCAAGUUUCUAAAAGCAACAGAAUGUUCAAACACGGGUCUGGGACAGUAAAAGAUGGCUGUCCUCAACAUCAGCGGUUCUAAAACCGCUCUAGACCAAGCUGAAACAAAGGAGAAAUGGAGUAAAGCAACAACGUGAAAUCUCCAGUCCUGCUCAAGCCAGCAUCCUGCAUCUCGCUUGCCUCUAGCCAGGACACGCCCCUCUGGACAGAUUUGGGAAACUAUCACCUACUUGGGGGAGGGGCGGGAAUGGCUUUUGGGUUAGCACUAAGGUCCCUUUCUUCACCUUUCGAGCCAGACGGAAGGAACAACUGCAAGAGCGAGGAAAGUGAAUAAAGCUGAGCAGCAAUGUCAGACAUCACCAGGCCAGCCUUGCAGUCGUACUCUCCUCCUAGACCUAUGGUUCCUGUGAUCCCUUCGCAAGAAUUUCCACUCUGCUGUCUUUACAGUGAGAAGACUGAAAGCCUCUGAGUCCUCAUCCGAAUGGAUCUCAGCUGAACUGCUGCUAAAAGCUAAAAGCUUACAAAGGCUCUAGUUCCUGAUCCUCAUGCCUUAUAUACCUUUCUGCUUCCUGCCAUCACUUCCUGGGAUUAAAGGCGUGUGUCACCAUGCCUGGCUGUUUCCAGUGUGGUUCUGAACUCCUAAAUGCUAGGAUUAAAGCUGCUGCUUGCAGAUGCUGCUGGCACCUGUAUUGGGCAACAUCCCCACGUCAGAGCAGAUGAGUACCCUUCCAAGAGGCUAAAGUUGACACAAUUUCCCUAUCACUUGCAGUUUUACUUUGGAGGCAGCUCUAUGGAACCUGCCCCCAUUCAGGCUGGAGAUCUUGAUUAUGCAACACAAUAUGAAAGCUUUUUUUUCUUUUUGUGGCAAUGUUUUAUUUAUCUUCAGUACUUCUCCGUCCUCUUAUUUCAAGCUGAGAGUCAACCUAUUUGCUUCUCUUGAUCCCAGACAUUUUGCAGAGUUGGAAGUAAAAUCUUCUUGAGAAAAACUGUCAUCCUUAGCUUUGGUAAAAUAUUGCCUCAUGAAUAAGAUCCUCUGGGCUCAUUCCCAACAGCUGAAAUGACAAAGAGAGCAUUGAUCUCAUUGAGUUUCCUGAGGUUGCUACAGUAAUUCAUGACGUCAGUACAUGUGAACGGACACUGGGAGCAUUCUGCGCUUUUACAUUUUUAAUUAUUGCAUGACUAGUAUCCUUUUAGGAAAUCAUACGACCUUUCUUCUGCAGUAUUCCUGUUCGGUCUCUGUGACAUAGGUGGAGCUGACUAUCUUUAGCCAUAGCAAUGCUCUGGCCACCAUUCAGCCUCAGUCAUGUGACCCAUGACCCUCCCAAGAGUGAUUGCUGGAAGAACAUUGCUUUCCUUUCUUUACGAACUUCUGGAGCCUCAGGCACAUGGGGUCACUUCAGUCAUGACAGUUAGAAAAUGGAGCCAUGUUGAUGAGAGGAGCUGGAUGUUUGGAAAUCCAGCAGUGUUUGGAAACCCACUUUUUGGAAUUUUUGUGAUGUGAGGCAGUUGAUGCUGUAUUUUAUCUAACACUAGAUUGUGUUAGAGUUGUUUCAUUCAUUACAAGUAGGAUUUUCAAGAAAACAGGGGUAAGUGUGCUUUAAAUAUGGCUCCUUUUGAAAGGCUACAUUAUAGUCAUUUAAAGAUUAUUUAUGCUGUAAGUAAUCAGACCUCAAAUCUUUCUCUUCCUAUCUAUGAAUAUGUUCCUUGAAUACCUUGGACCUCAGUUUGCUUCCUUCUCUGGCAUAAUCAGCAUAGAUCUCAUUUAUUGCAGAUUAUUAAUAGAAACUGUGUGUGUAUGUAUGUGUGUGUGUGUGUGAGUGUGUGUGUAUGU